rnacentral:rRNA from 1 species
UACGUAGGGGGCGAGCGUUGUCCGGAGUUACUGGGCGUAAAGCGACACGCAGGCGGUCUGCUAAGUUUGGAGUGACAGUUUGGGUGGCUUAACUGCCAAAGUGCAUUCGUAAACUAAGACAGACUUUGAGGGCUUCAGAGGGACACGGAAUUCCGGGUGGAGUGGUGAAAUGCGUGAGAUCCGGAGGAACACCAAAGGCGAAGGCGUGUCCUGGGGAGUACCUGACGCUCAGGUGCGAAAGCCAGGGGAGCGAACGGG